rfam:Bombyx mori DNA, contig: Bm_scaf2_contig1504, strain: p50T/Dazao, build 2, whole genome shotgun sequence.
UUAAGUUAAAUUUGUAUGGAGUUGGAACGUGUGCUUAUGUUUGCCGCUAGGGGCACUGUUCCAGCUACAUACGAAUUUCAGGUA